rnacentral:rRNA from 1 species
AGCGGCGGACGGGUGAGUAAUGCUUAGGAAUCUGCCUAUUAGUGGGGGACAACAUUCCGAAAGGAAUGCUAAUACCGCAUACGUCCUACGGGAGAAAGCAGGGGAUCUUCGGACCUUGCGCUAGUAGAUGAGCCUAAGUCGGAUUAGCUAGUUGGUGGGGUAAAGGCCUACCAAGGCGACGAUCUGUAGCGGGUCUGAGAGGAUGAUCCGCCACACUGGGACUGAGACACGGCCCAGACUCCUACGGGAGGCAGCAGUGGGGAAUAUUGGACAAUGGGGGGAACCCUGAUCCAGCCAUGCCGCGUGUGUGAAGAAGGCCUUAUGGUUGUAAAGCACUUUAAGCGAGGAGGAGGCUACUGAGACUAAUACUCUUGGAUAGCGGACGUUACUCGCAGAAUAAGCACCGGCUAACUCUGUGCCAGCAGCCGCGGUAAUACAGAGGGUGCGAGCGUUAAUCGGAUUUACUGGGCGUAAAGCGUGCGUAGGCGGCUGAUUAAGUCGGAUGUGAAAUCCCUGAGCUUAACUUAGGAAUUGCAUUCGAUACUGGUCAGCUAGAGUAUGGGAGAGGAUGGUAGAAUUCCAGAUGUAGCGGUGAAAUGCGUAGAGAUCUGGAGGAAUACCGAUGGCGAAGGCAGCCAUCUGGCCUAAUACUGACGCUGAGGUACGAAAGCAUGGGGAGCAAACAGGAUUAGAUACCCUGGUAGUCCAUGCCGUAAACGAUGUCUACUAGC